ACUCCUGCGGGAGGCAGCAGUGGGGAAUUUUGGACAAUGGGCGAAAGCCUGAUCCAGCAAUGCCGCGUGAGUGAAGAAGGCCUUCGGGUUGUAAAGCUCUUUUGUCAGGGAAGAAACGGUGAGAGCUAAUAUCUCUUGCUAAUGACGGUACCUGAAGAAUAAGCACCGGCUCACUACGUGCCAGCAGCCGCGGUAAUACGUAGGGUGCAAGCGUUAAUCGGAAUUACUGGGCGUAAAGCGUGCGCAGGCGGUUUUGUAAGUCUGAUGUGAAAUCCCCGGGCUCAACCUGGGAAUUGCAUUGGAGACUGCAAGGCUAGAAUCUGGCAGAGGGGGGUAGAAUUCCACGUGUAGCAGUGAAAUGCGUAGAUAUGUGGAGGAACACCGAUGGCGAAGGCAGCCCCCUGGGUCAAGAUUGACGCUCAUGCACGAAAGCGUGGGGAGCAAACAGGAUUAGAAACCCUUGUAGUCCCA
rnacentral:rRNA from 1 species